rnacentral:lncRNA from 1 species
UUAUACCAUAUAAUUUCCUAUGUGUAAAAUAGUUCAUAAUUUGUAAGAAUUUUAUUUUAAAGAUUUUAUUUACUUAUUCAUGAGAGACACACAGAGAGAGGCAGAGACACAGGCAGAGGGAGACGCAGGCUCCAUGCAGGGAGCCCGACGUGAGACUUGAUCCCGAGACUCUAGGAUCACGACCUGGGCCCAAGGCAGGUGCUGAACCGCUGAGCCACACAGUGAUCCCCGAUAAUUUGUAAGAAUUUUAAACCGCUUUAUUGAGAUACAAUUCACGUCCUGUAUAAUCCACUCAUUUAAAGUGUAUAAUUUAAUGGUGUUUAUGCACAGAUGUGUGUGUAACUGGCACAAGUCAAUUUUGGAUCAUUUUCAUCACCUCAAAAAGAAAUUCCCUGUAGCUGUCACCCCGGUACCCUCCCACCUGCCUUCCCUAGCUCUAUGCAUCCAUUAAUCUUCUUUCCAUCUUUCUAGAUUGGUCUUUUCUGGACAGUUCGUAUAAACGGAAUCUUAUAAUAUUUAGACUAAUAUAUAUUUAGAUAAUAUAGUAGACUAUAAUAUACUAGACUUGCGACUGGCUUCUUUCACGCUGCAUAAUGUUCUCAAGGUUUGUCCAAGUUGUAGCACGGGUCCCUACUUCCUUCCCUGGUACGGCUGGCACAAUAAAGUAAAAAUUUGUCUUGAAUGCUGGUGCUUGGGGAGAAAUAGCUUAAUUAGAAAGAAAUAAGGACAAUGAAGAUUUCUCUGCAGAUUCUAAAGGAUCUUAAACUACUUCCAGGAUCUCCAGAAGUGGAUGGCGCACUGGUUCUUGUUCUAGACCGUGACUUCAUUUUUUCCCUCCCAAUCUGUGGAAUCCUAAGCUGUGGGGAACCUGUUGCUUUGGCAAGAUAAGAAGAUAACACACCCUGCGAGGAACCACCGGAGAUGCUUGUGGCCCUUGCUUUUCACAACUGAGUAAUCCUUUGUACUGAUGCUUGGAGGAGGCUGGACACUGCUGACACCGGCCCCUGACAGGGAGGCAGACAAGGCAAGUGGGACCAUGGCAGCCCCUGCUUCUGCCGGAUGGCAGAGGGGGCAACACGUGGCACACUGGUGAUAUGCAUUUAGCAUCAGGGAGGGGAAAUAAUAAUGCACCAUUCUGGCAAGUUCCUUAGGUGCGAUAUUCAAGUUAGGAAUAGAUUUGCUUCAAGGCCUCUGGCACACAGUAUGUCUGCAAUUCCUCUCUUUUUACUGUGAACAAAACCCCCAGAUCUUAACCCAUCUACUAGAGCUGCCAGCUUAUAAGGGGAGGAGAUAUCCGAAGAAGCUGGUGUGCCACGCAUCAAUGGAAUUGACAAGCAACAGAGAAAUAUGCUUUUUUUUACAUAAAAAAAGUAACCAGACAAAAAAGGAGUCUUAGGAAAGAUAAAAGCCAUAGCUGAUAAGUGCUCAGAUUUCUCAGGAUCUGCACCCACAAGGUGCACUGGAGUACGAGGAACCAGGUGUCUGCCGCUGCUUGCCAACAGACCCCUCCCUGCGACCAGACGGCACGUCUCUGCACACGACAGUCUAAGGAGGCAGGGAAGUGACAGAGGAAACAGGAGGUCUGUUCUCAGGGGAAAGCCAGUCUGACUCCCUUGAAUUGAACACGGUAACCUUAGGGCUCGUCCUCC